ensembl:lncRNA
ACAUUCAGGACUCUUGAGAACAAUCAUGGUUUCAUGCACAGUAAGUGGAAACAUCUAUUCACAAUUUGAGAAGACGUGGCUGGGUAUCAGACAUGACGCUGUACAGUGGAAAGACUAACAUGCUCAUUUUCACUUGCACUGCCAAACCACCACCAUAAAUCACAUGUCCUACACUGAGGGGGGAAAAAAAUCACAAAGCAACACUACCCAUCUGCACAAACACAUACCUAAAUAUAGCUUUGGCAAAGUAAUUUAGAUAACUGUGUAGAAUGGAAAUUGUAGAUUUAAGUUGGAUUGGUUUUCUUUCAAUGACUUUUCCCCCAUUUAGGCAAAGGGGGGCCAAGCUUGUUGACAGGGGGGCAACCACCAGUUUGGUUUCUAUCGUUCUUCAAAACAUCUUUUGUGUUGAAUAGAAGAAAGAAAAUUAUAGCCUACAGGUCUGGAAAAUUAGCAUUUUGGGGUACACUAUCCCUUUAAGUUUGAUGAGCAUCAAAUCCAUCAUUUAAAUAAGAAUACGCCUUUCUUUCAAAAACAAGUACAUUGGAAAAAAACUACAUUUGAUCCAUAAUUCCUUUGACGUCGGAAGUAUACAAAACGUGUUAUUUGAAUGACAAGAGUCCAGUAGUGCUGUUCGUGUCUGUAUGAUAAGAAUCCAGAAGUGCUGUUUAUGUGUUUGUGCGUGUGAACUCCUGAUUAGUGUCUCGUCGCUGCAGCUGCGCCUGCACUGAGCGUGCGCGCGACGGCGCUGCGCGUUUGACAGCAGCAGGAGAAAGAGAAGAGAAGCUGCGGCGCGCGCCGACAAACAACACACUAAACGUACACCAGUCCCAUGAAACCGGACAGGUCGAGGAUUCAUCACUGGAAUCGUCCCUACGGAUGCUUUUGGUUUGCUCCAGGAAAUGCAUUAACCUCCUUUGUACGGUGACAAAGGGGUGUGUUAAUCUCACCGAGUUAGGAGGCAGGCACAUGGGGGUGGAUGCCAGGGAGAGUCGAGUGACCGCAUAUGUGUGUGUGUGAGGCAGAUGCCUGUCAGAGCGUUCCCUGGCCACACACAUGCUGCACGAGCCAAAGAGAAUGGUUAGUGAGGUACAUACUUGAUACCAGGAAAGGACUGCUGUUGACUCACUGCAGUAUUAAGGUAAUAGUGUUCUAGCUGUUAAAAAUAACAUGUUUUUUACCCAGAAUGACCCUCUGUUUGGUGUGUUGGUUAAUUUGUUCUUGGUGAUUUGAUCUUGAGUUUUUUUUUUUUUUUGUGGUAUUUAUUAGGGUAACAUUUGCGUUUCUCACACCCUGUGGGUCGAAGUUACACCUCCAGGGUGAACUAUUUCCUUUCACUUCUUUGACUCGGGUUUUGUGACUAUAGUUCCUUAGAACAAACAGCAUUUUGUCCAUUGCACGGUACACACCUGGUAUCACCUUACCUGCUAAAACCAGUCAGAUUUGUCUUUGUGUGCGCUGAUUUGUUUAUUCUGAAGUCAUAGUGUCUGCUGAUGGGAUGUCUGUAGGUGUACAACUAAAACCAAAAGUUUUAUGGCAGCAUGUAUUGAGGUGAUAGGAGAAACCUUUUUCUGUUUUAUCUGCAAAUCUGUGGUAUGUUUAAUAUAUUUAAGUAGAGAGAUAGAUAUAGUCAUGCAUGUUGAUGUAGGUGAUAUAGUAUUUAUUUACUGAUCAGUAUACAAAAAUUUGUGUGGAAGAAUGGAUGGAUAAAUUAAUAGAUAGAUGAUUGGAUGAAAAGAGAAAUGGAUGGAUGGAUGGAAAAGAAAUGAAUGGAUGGAUAAAUGGAUGAUAUAUGAAUGAAUGAAAAAGAAAUUUAUGGGUGGAUGGAUGCAUGAAAAAUAAAUGGAUAAAUGGAUAGAUAAAUGUAUGAAAA